UGUAAAUACUUAGGAAUUAAGAGAGGUUGUGAUGAUGAUGGUGGCUUAUCCAUCUAUCCGUUAUUUGACUUUUCAAGGAAGUUCUUUAUGAAUUUCUGCAGAGAGGCGAUAUUUGGUGUCGCCCAAAGUGUGGGUCCUGGAAAAUUACUCUGAGCGAAGCAUUUCGUUGCUUUGUUCGAAGUAUUCAUGCAGAUUUCUCUUGGAGAAAUGGUCAUGUUAAUUGUCAAUUUGACUGAUAUUUUACUCUCAAGCUUUCCUAUGCUCAUCUUACAGUGGUAGGCAUUUUGGAUGGCCCAAAAAUUAUCAGUCAACCAAUGCUUUUAUUUUUCUGAUGAAUGUAGACAAUAAUUUGCUCUCUUUCUUGCGGCUGAUAAUUUGAGAGGAUCUGAAUCUCCAUUUCUAUAAUACAAAGAAUAAUUAACACAGG